rnacentral:rRNA from 1 species
UGACUAGCUACUGAAUCUAUGAUGUGUCAUCUUAGAUAACGUAAAGAAAAAUAAUGAUAUUACUUUACUAUUAGUGUCGUCCAAAUACUCGUGCCAGAAGACUCGGUAAGGCGAGAGACGCAAACGUUAUUCGUCUUGAUCAGGCGUAAAGGGUGUGUAGGCUGCUUUAAAAUUUUAUAUUAAGUUUACUAACUAUAAUAAAUUUAAUUAAACUUAUGACUCACAAUUUUAUUAUCUUAAUUUAAUUGCAUAAGUAAUUUAUAAUAAUUAAAUAACAUUAAUGUUAUUAAUAUAUUUGAACUAAAGCUAGAAUCUAAAAUAGGUUAAAACAAUACUUAAGGUAGGAGUACUAACCAUAAAUAUUAAGUAGAGUUCUAAAGGCGAAGGCAUUUAUCCAAUGAAGAUUGACGCUGAGAAACGAAAGUGAGGGCAGAAAAAAGGAUUAGAGACCCUUGUAUUCCUCACUGUCAACGAUGAAUGGUAGUUACUAAUUAGAAAUAAAUUAUAGACGAUGUUAACACGAAAACCAUUCCGCCUUGUGAGUACAACUGCAAAGUUGAAAACAAAAAAAUUAGUCGGUUUCGGAGCAAACGAAGUGAAGCAUGUUAUUUAAUUAUAAAAUUCCCCCAA